CCUGGCUUUGUUCUGCAGCGGGAGGCUCUUUCCUUGGUUCUCUCCAUUCCUGAGUCACUGUCACGCUCACAGGUGCCGAUUCAGCUGGCCCAUUGCUCGCUACCAUCUUGGAGGGCAGUCCAGUUAGGAAGGAAGAGGUGCCCCGGUGAAGAGGGUACUUCCACCCUGAGCCCCUCUCUUGACUCUUCAGAUGGGAACACUGAGCCUCAAGUUGUCCAAAGUGGCAUAGCUCAUCAGCGGUGAAGUUGGGGUGAAAACUUGUCUUCAAGUCAAGAGUCCUGACCUCUGUAUUGAACAGUCUACAGGAAUGAGUCUGCCUAUAAGACUGUCAUGGCCUGAAAAAUAAUACAUCCAAACAACAAAGGUCUGCCAGCAUGGGUUGGUUCUAUGUUUUCUGCAGUCUCAAGCUGGGGAUCAAUGUAACAAGAUUAUGUAAAUAUUUAUUCAGGGUUCUGGGAAACCCAGCAGAGUUGCAGGAUAAACCAUCACCUCCCAGCAAGCAAGGGCUUGCCUGCUAAUUCCCCUUCUCCAUGAGGCUAAUUGGAUUGCCCAGUUUCUUCUAUUGUAGGGGAGGAAAGUGAUCAGCUCCCACCAGAGAGGAUGUUUUUCAUAUAAGGUUAGAGGUGGUUAGGGAUGGAGGCUCUGAGGUCAGGCAGUUUCUCUCUGUCCUUCCCAGCAGUGUGACCUCAGGCAAAUUACUAAAUCUCCCUCAGCCUCAGGUUCCUCAUCAUUAAAAUGGGGGAUUAUAGUACUACCUUGAGGGGCUGUUGUGAGGAUUAAAUAAGAAAUUGUAUGUAAAUAAAGUACUUAGUUUCUGGCAUACAAUACACACUUAAUAAAAAUAGUAAGGCCAGAAAUGGGUGGAUUGGGGCAUUGAUUUACAGCACUUUGCUAGCAAAUCUCUUGUUUCUUGCCAGUUGGAGGCCCUGGUGAGACUAUGUCCUUGUGGCCACAUGAUUCUUUGCACUGCUGCUGCUGCUAAGUCGCUUCAGUCGUGUCCAACUCUGUGCGACCCCAUAGAUGGCCUCCCACCAGGCUCCCCCGUCCCUGGGAUUCUCCAGGCAAGAACACUGGAGUGGGUUGCCAUUUCCUUCUCCAAUGCAUGAAAGUGGAAAGUGAAAGUGAAGUCGCUCAGUCGUCUUUGACUCUUAGCGACCCCAUGGACUGCAGCCUACCGGGCUCCUGCGCCCAUGGGAUUUUCCAGGCAAGAGUACUGGAGUGGGGGGCCAUCACCUUCGCCAGAUCCUUUGCAUGGCCACCUCUAAAAGAGUCGCUCGGCAAGCAUUAACCAGCUCAUCAGUUCAGUUCAGUUCAGUCACUCAGUCGUGUCCCACUCUUUGCG
ensembl:lncRNA